UGGGGGAUAUUGCACAAUGGGGGAAACCCUGAUGCAGCGACACCGCGUGGGUGAGGAAGCGCUUCGGCGUGUAAAGCCCUAUCAGUGGGGAAGAAAAAGGACGGUACCCAAAGAAGAAGCACCGGCUAAAUACGUGCCAGCAGCCGCGGUAAUACGUAUGGUGCAAGCGUUAUCCGGAAUGACUGGGUGUAAAGGGAGCGUAGACGGUUGUACAAGUCUGAUGUGAAAGCCCACGGCUCAACUGUGGGAGUGCAUUGGAAACUGUAGAACUAGAGUAUCGGAGAGGCAAGUGGAAUUCCUAGUGUAGCGGUGAAAUGCGUAGAUAUUAGGAGGAACACCAGUGGCGAAGGCGGCUUGCUGGACGAAAACUGACGUUGAGGCUCGAAAGCGUGGGGAGCAAACAGG
rnacentral:rRNA from 1 species